UUUCAAAAUUCCCUAUCCAGCAGCAACGCUAUCAACGUGAGAGGCGUUAUUAUUGUGUAAUUAAUGCCAUAAUAAAUAAACUCUUUUCACUUUUCUUUCUUUUGUUAGUUUAGGGUUUUUUCCGUCAUCGUCGACAGAUCCAGGUCUUGAUAAUUUGAUUGAAAGUUUGGUUCUCUCACAAUAGAGCCAUCAAUGGUGAUCCUUAAUUUUUCCAGUUCAAUCUGUCAUACUUGCUUACCCAAAAACACUGCGAGGAGGUCAUUCUCACACUUUUCUUAAAGCCAAAGUAUGGCCUGUGAUUUACUGGUUGAGAUUCAAAACUUUUGAUGGGAGUUGAAUACUGACUCAUUUCAUUUUGCGGAAUACUAUGUUACAAUUAAAUUGUAUCGGACACCAUUUUAUACACACAUCUGGCGGGUAAAUGGUUCAAGGAUUGAGUUGUUGCCUGGGUCUUCUCAAUUGUAAAUCACGACCAGGAUUCAACUGAAUUAGCGAGAGGUGGACAACAGAUUACACCUCGUGAUCGCAAGUGCAAGGAUAGAUGGAACCAUGUAAUUCUUAGAGAUUUAUGUAUCAAUAAUAUUGUAAAGAAAUAAAAUUUUAAUUGUGUUUAUUCGUCUCUACGAUAAACCUAUAAAAUAUUGUAGAUUUGUUUCCUCUU